CGUGACGGCGCGAGCAGGUGCGAAAGCAGGUCAUAGUGAUCCGGUGGUUCUGAAUGGAAGGGCCAUCGCUCAACGGAUAAAAGGUACUCCGGGGAUAACAGGCUGAUACCGCCCAAGAGUUCAUAUCGACGGCGGUGUUUGGCACCUCGAUGUCGGCUCAUCACAUCCUGGGGCUGAAGUAGGUCCCAAGGGUAUGGCUGUUCGCCAUUUAAAGUGGUACGCGAGCUGGGUUUAGAACGUCGUGAGACAGUUCGGUCCCUAUCUGCCGUGGGCGCUGGAGAACUGAGGGGGGCUGCUCCUAGUACGAGAGGACCGGAGUGGACGCAUCACUGGUGUUCGGGUUGUCAUGCCAAUGGCACUGCCCGGUAGCUAAAUGCGGAAGAGAUAAGUGCUGAAAGCAUCUAAGCACGAAACUUGCCCCGAGAUGAGUUCUCCCUGACUCCCUGAGAGUCCUGAAGGAACGUUGAAGACGACGACGUUGAUAGGCCGGGUGUGUAAGCGCAGCGAUGCGUUGAGCUAACCGGUACUAAUGAACCGUGAGGCUUAACCUUACAACGCCGAAGGUGUUU
rnacentral:rRNA from 1 species